AGGGGCACUGUGUGUGUGUGGCAGUGGAAUAGGAAGAUAAUGGUAUCUGGUUUGUCUAGAAAGAGCUGGCACUGGUACAAGCCAGGGUGGAAUGGCGAGAGCAGGACAGGGAGCGGGGUCCAAGAGUGGCCCUGGGUGUAAUAGCGGGAGCUUGGUCCAGUCUGUGGGGGGGUGAGAGCCGAUCUGAAGGGACCUGUAGGAGGGCUGCUGGUGGUGAGCGCGACAUACAGCCUACAGUCUGUAUGAUAGCCCCAUAGUGGCUGCAAUAAUGAUAACGUAUUUCCUGGGUCCUGAGGCCUCCGUCAGCUGCAUGCACAGCAUGGCCAAAUCCCUGCUACAGUCCGGAGCCUCAGCGCUGCUGUUGAGGAACAGCUCGGUGCUGCUCUGAGGGGUCUGGUAAACAAUUCACAAUUCAGUAUAGUGCAGUGGAUACAAACCCCCUGUCUGUGUAUGUAAUGCAACAUGUGUGGAACAAAGUCGUACAGAUAGUGCCUCUUUGGAUUGCUCCAAAUAUGUUGACUUUCUGUGGAUUUUUGCUAAUUUUGAUUAAUUAUCUUCUAAUGUCCUUCUAUGAUUGGGACUACACGGCAUCAGGUAUCGGCAGUCAGCAUAUUCCAAACUGGAUUUGGAUCUCUGCAGCUUUGGGAAACUUUCUGGCUUAUGCGUUGGAUUCAAUUGAUGGGAAACAUGCCAGAAGGACUCAGUCCAGCAGCCCAUUGGGAGAAUUAUUUGAUCAUGGGCUCGACAGUUGGACAGCGUCAAUCUUUCCACUGUCUUUGUUCUCAAUAUUUGGAAGCAAUUCAGGAGAAGCAGGAUUAACACCAAUGAAGAUGUAUUUAGUGAGCAGCGUUGUGCUCUUCACCUUUAUGCUCGCACACUGGGAAAAAUACAAUACUGGGGUGCUCUUUCUCCCCUGGGCGUAUGAUAUUAGCCAAGUGUCAAUGACAUUGGUAUAUAUUCUCACUGCAGCAGUUGGAGUAGACACCUUCCAUAAACCAGUCAUCCCGCAUGUAUACAUGACUGAUUUACUAAUUACAUUCCUAGUAGGAUGCAGUUUACUAAUCGCCUUUCCUCAGACGUUGUACAACAUUUUUAUAGCAUAUCGAGGGAAAACCCUACUAAAGAGCUCAGUGUAUGAAGGACUUUUACCAUUAUUCUCACCAUCCGUUUUAUUUCUUCUGUUGACCCUAUGGGUUGUGUAUUCUCCCUGUAACAUCCUGGACAGGCAACCAAGGCUUUUCUUAUGGAUGGUUGGUGUUCUGUUCUCCAAUGUGACAUGCAGAGUGAUUAUAUGCCAGAUGAGUAACACCAGGUCUGAAGUCUUCCACUGGCUCCUAUGGCCACUGGCUCUUGUGGUUGGUUUAGCUGUAUCCAGAUACCUGGGGACUGUGGAGGAGCUCGUCUUCUUGUCUAUCACAGUGUGUGCUACUGUAGCUCACAUACAUUAUGGCGUUUGUGUGGGGAAACAACUCAGCGAACAUUUCCACAUUUACAUAUUCUCUCUAAAGAAGCGGUAUGCAGACUGAGCGACAUAAUAAUCUACAUGAAGGUUUUACAGUUGUACUAGAUUUGAAGAACUAUAAGCAAGUCAAUGGAAAUCAUCUGACAACAGAUUUCACCAUUUAAAUGUCUUCCUUGAAGAUGCACUGUGAAUCCUGAAAAGCUAAGGUCUAUGAAUGCCAUAUGAUAUAGAAGCCACCAGAGCAGCUGUCACUUGCAGUAUAAUGAGUACAGUAUAUACUUCUGGUAAUUUCUGUGUUUUUCACAAGUACUAGAUGGUAAUUAACAGGGGAAGAGGGCUGGGUAUUAUAGUAUGUACAUUCCAUACUGAGUGUUUACAGAACAUAACACAGUCACAAAUAAGAAAGUGAGAAACAAUGUAUUUAAUUUUUUAUAUGCGUUCCUUGUCAUAAUAAAAUAAUUAUUAUUGUCUAAA